UAUUGCACAAUGGGGGAAACCCUGAUGCAGCGACGCCGCGUGAGCGAAGAAGUAUUUCGGUAUGUAAAGCUCUAUCAGCAGGGAAGAAAAAAUGACGGUACCUGACUAAGAAGCACCGGCUAAAUACGUGCCAGCAGCCGCGGUAAUACGUAUGGUGCAAGCGUUAUCAGGAUUUACUGGGUGUAAAGGGAGCGCAGGCGGUACGGCAAGUCUGAUGUGAAAGCCCGGGGCUCAACCCUGGUACUGCAUUGGAAACUGCCGGACUAGAGUGUCGGAGGGGUAAGUGGAAUUCCUAGUGUAGCGGUGAAAUGCGUAGAUAUUAGGAGGAACACCAGUGGCGAAGGCGGCUUACUGGACGAUGACUGACGCUGAGGCUCGAAAGCGUGGGGAGCAAACAGG
rnacentral:rRNA from 1 species